GCCUCUACUAUUCACAAUGGGGUUGCUAUAGUUUAACCGUACAUACAUUUGGUCUCUAGCCAUAUACAUCCUUGGAUGAAUAUUGACUGCAGUAGGUUCAUUGUAGGAAUACGGUUGCACUUAUAUAGAAUCUAUCAUCCUUGAUAGAUAAGAAAGUUAGUUCUAUGUGAUUUAUAUGACUGAGUUUAGAAGAUCUUGGUCAGAGCAGUGCGAAUAGUGAAAAGAGUU
rnacentral:lncRNA from 1 species